AGAUGAAUGGCUGAGUGGUUGAAAGCAUCAAUUUUGAAAAUUGAAAUAAAUUAUAAAAUUAUCGUAGGUUCGAAUCCUACUUCAUCUG
rnacentral:tRNA from 1 species